rnacentral:rRNA from 1 species
UGCAGUCGAGCGACGAUAAGGAGCUUGCUCCUUUGACGUUGGCGGCGGACGGGUGAGUACACGUGGGUAACCUACCUAUAAGACUGGGAUAACUUCGGGAAACCGGAGCUAAUACCGGAUAACAUUUGGAACCGCAGGGUUCUAAAGUGAAAGAUGGUUUUGCUAUCACUUAUAAUGGACCCGCGCCGUAUUACUAGUUGGUAAGGUAACGGCUUACCAAGACGAUACGUACCGACCUGAAGGGUGAUCGGCCACACUGGAACUGAGACACGGACCAGACUCCUACGGGAGGCAGCAGUAGGGAAUCUUCCGCAAUGGGCGAAAGCCUGACGGAGCAACGCCGCGUGAGUGAUGAAGGGUUUCGGCUCGUAAAACUCUGUUAUUAGGGAAGAACAAACGUGUAAGUAACUGUGCACGUCUUGACGGUACCUAAUCAGAAAGCCACGGCUAACUACGUGCCAGCAGCCGCGGUAAUACGUAGUGGCAAGCGUUAUCCGGAAUUAUUGGGCGUAAAGCGCGCGUAGCGGUUUCUUAAUCUGAUGUGAAAGCCCACGGCUCAACCGUGGAGGGUCAUUGGAAACUGGGAAACUUGAGUGCAGAAAGGAAAGUGGAAUUCCAUGUGUAGCGGUGAAAUGCGCAGAGAUAUGGAGGAACACCAGUGGCGAAGGCGACUUUCUGGUCUGUAACUGACGCUGAUGUGCGAAAGCGUGGGGAUCAAACAGGAUUAGAUACCCUGGUAGUCCACGCCGUAAACGAUGAGUGCUAAGUGUUAGGGGGUUUCCGCCCCUUAGUGCUGCAGCUAACGCAUUAAGCACUCCGCCUGGGGAGUACGACCG